rnacentral:lncRNA from 1 species
CAUGACUUAGCAACUAAACAACAACAGGCGAGAGGCUGAACCCAUUACUCUCAUGACAAUUGUCCAGAUGUUUGAACUUGGCCCACCCCAAAGCACCUAUCAUUACAUUUGGCCUAUUGUGAUGUAAUGCUACAACUGCUUAACAAUAACUGAAAAUCAUGUUAACAUCAUUUGUUCAUCAGAUUGAGCUCCUAUUUGCACCCAAAGCUAUAUAAUUUUCCCAAACCCUUGUACCAGACGAGCUGACAAGACUAGCACCAGGAUGCUUCAGUCUACUCAUUUCUGUACAUCUUGCUGAAAGUGACCUAGUCUAGCUGAUCUUGAGCUCUGGCAAAUUAGCACUAUGUGGUAAUUGCCCAUAUUCUCUAUUAGACACAGCACAAUGAAGGCAGGUGGCAACACCCAUUAUACUUACCAUUGUAUUUCUAGAGGUAAGGCAAUAGAAAAGAAACUAGGAGACUCAAGAAAGAGCAAAAGCCUCUUCAGUAAAUGAUGGAAUGUAAAUCUGAAAAAUUCUUUGAAUAUUUGUAGUGUGACUGGGGGGAGGGACAGGAGCUCAUCAGCAAGUAGAAUCUUAAAAUUCCAGGCAUCUGGCUCCAGCAGCAAUCCUUUUAUUCACUUGCUAAAUCACUGAACUGCUCAUUUCAGCUUCUGUGUUACAAAAGAACACAACUCAUAGUUCUCUCAGGAGAGCCAUGAACACAAAUUAGCAAAUCUUUACCCAAUCAUCUGAAAAUGAACUGAGCUAAAUAGCUUUACACAUACAUUUUCUCCUGGAACUGUAGAUGACACUCACUACAUGGUACAUGGCGUUCCUUUACCACCAUCUAAGCCAGAUUGGAAAGGAAUGAGAAGGUGUGCUUUCGCUAGGAAAAAGUGAGUAGUAAUUGAGGAGCCAAGCAGGAAUGCAAACACCCACUUAGACUUUUAUUUUAACUGAUGUAUGUAUUUUACCCAUUAAACCAUAAUAUAACAAUUUUGCUUAUCUGUGGGCAAAAAGAAAUGGUUCUGCCUAAAGGAAAAACACUGCCAGGGAGCCCAAAACCAUUCCAUUUUGGUCAGAAGGCUCAUUAUUUUCCCCCCAGUAAGUACAUAUCUAUAAAAUUCUGUUGCCAUUAAGUUUCAAAUGCCAAGAAGGCAAGAGAUUAGUUAGCUAUGUAUGGCCAGUUCUCCUGUGAGAUAGCAAGCAUAAGGUGCUUCAAGCUUUCCUUUGCACAUAAUUAAUGCUUGGUAACUGCUAGGGAUAUUUCACUGUCCUAGAAAAGAGGUAUUUAAAUUGGCAAACACUUGUAGAGCACUUUACAAAGGACAGAGCUCUUCUUAAUUUGAUUCCGGUCCAUUGAAUACCCACGAAAACUCUCAGAGGUAAAUAUCAUCAUCCCCAUUUUACAACUAAAGAAGUUAAGAUUUGAAAGUGUAUUUGUUUCCUAGAACAUCCAUAACAAAGUACCACAAACUAGAUGGCUUAAAACAGCAGAAAUGUGCUCUCUUACAGUUCUGGAGGCCUUAAGUCUGAAAGCAGGGCAUGGCCACAGUUGGUUCCUUCUGGAGGUUCUGAGGGAGUCAGUUCCUGCCUUCUGGUGAUUGCCAGCCGUCCUUGGUGUUCCUUGGCACACAGGUACAGUGUUCCAGUCUCUGCUUUUGUCUUCACUUGGUGUUUCCUUGUGUCCUCUCCUCCUCUUAUGANNNNNNNNNNNNNNNNNNNNNNNNNNNNNNNNNNNNNNNNNNNNNNNNNNNNNNNNNNNNNNNNNNNNNNNNNNNNNNNNNNNNNNNNNNNNNNNNNNNUGUGUCCUCUCCUCCUCUUAUGAGGACACCAGUCAUUGAAUUUCAGGCCAAUUCUAAUCUAGAAGGACCUCAUCUUAAUUGCCUGAUUAACCUUACAAAGACCCUAUUUCCAAGAAAGAUCACCUUCUGAGUGUCUGAACAGACAUGAAUUUGGGGGAUACACCAUACAACCCCAAAUCAUACAGCUCACAGGUUGUGGAGCUGAAACCCAAACAAAGGUCUAUAGGGCUCACAUUCAAACCACAUACUUUUUCCAUUAGGUUAUGUUGCCCAGGUCACCAAGUCGGGAUGUGCAGCUGAGCAUGGGAGUCAUCCUGUUUCACCUUACAAAGAGACCUUGCUUCAUUUGACUUGUUCUAAAUGACAAUAGUUAACACAGCUUUAUUGACUAUGCCAAAGCCUUUGACUGUGUGGAUCACAAUAA